AGCCUUCUGUAUCCGUGCUGAGAUUUCGUCACACACCAGGGCUGAUGAGAUUCCCAAGAUAUGUGAAGCG
rfam:Schistosoma mansoni, Puerto Rico, WGS project CABG01000000 data, contig: 0010